rnacentral:lncRNA from 1 species
UUGCAUAUUUGGAGAGGAGCAUCCUAACGAUAGCCCCGGAACCUAGGCAUCGCGGAUAGCAGUCGAGCGUGAUAGGAAUUAUCCAGGUUAGUUGUUCUUGUGGGAAAUGGAGUCCCAUAGACGUUGGAUAUCGACAAACCGCUUUCGCCAUCAACCACUAGAGACCUUGUGUACUCCAUUGACCAUCAUUGUCUUGUACGCUAGUAUUUUGUAUUUGCUUGGAUAUUUGUACCAAGGAAGUAUGCACCAG